rnacentral:rRNA from 1 species
UACGGGGGGGGGCAAGCGUUGUUCGGAAUUACUGGGCGUAAAGGGCUCGUAGGCGGCCAACUAAGUCAUACGUGAAAUCCCUCGGCUUAACCGGGGAACUGCGUCUGAUACUGGAUGGCUUGAGUUCGGGAGAGGGAUGCGGAAUUCCAGGUGUAGCGGUGAAAUGCGUAGAUAUCUGGAGGAACACCGGUGGCGAAGGCGGCAUCCUGGACCGAUACUGACGCUGAUGAGCGAAAGCCAGGGGAGCAAACAGG